ACGAACGCUGGCGGCAUGCCUAACACAUGCAAGUCGAGCGCCUGUAGCAAUACAGGAGCGGCGCACGGGUGAGUAACGCGUGGGAACCUACCCUUAGGUUCGGAACAACCGCGGGAAACUGCGGCUGAUACCGGAUAAUGUCUUCGGACCAAAGAUUUAUCGCCUUUGGAGGGGCCCGCGUAGGAUUAGGUAGUUGGUGAGGUAACGGCUCACCAAGCCUACGAUCCGUAGCUGGUAUGAGAGGAUGACCAGCCACACUGGGACUGAGACACGGCCCAGACUCCUACGGGAGGCAGCAGUGGGGAGUAUUGGACAAUGGGGGCAACCCUGAUCCAGCAAUGCCGCGUGGGUGAUGAAGGCCUUCGGGUUGUAAAGCCCUUUCGGCGGGGACGAUGAUGACGGUACCCGCAGAAGAAGCCCCGGCUAACUUCGU
rnacentral:rRNA from 1 species